rnacentral:rRNA from 1 species
CGUGUAGGCGGUUGGGAUAGUCAGACGUGAAAGCCUUCUGCUCAACAGAAGAAGUACGUCUGAAACUGCCCAACUUGAGUACGAGAGAGGAAAGUGGAAUUCCCAGUGUAGAGGUGAAAUUCGUAGAUAUUGGGAGGAACACCUGUGGCGAAGGCGACUUUCUGGAUCGAUACUGACGCUGAGACGCGAAAGCGUGGGUAGCAAACAGGAUUAGAUACCCUGGUAGUCC